UUCUCUCUCUUUAUACUUGCUUUAGGAGGUUUACUCAAUCCUUAAAAACUAAGCAGCAUCAAAAAGAAAAUUGUGAGGUAACAAAUUUCAACUCGUAAUGACAGAACCUUAAAAAAUCUAUAAUCUCAUAACAAACAAAUGACCAUUGGAUGAACCGUUGAAAUCUACUAAACCUAAAACUAUUCUUAAUCUGUAAUAAACAUCAAAGUACUUGACCUUAUUAAAUAGGAUUGACUAUAAAAACAAAACGAUUCCAUUAACUAAUCAAACUCAUAAACGAGAUACAAAGACAUUCGAAUUACGUUUUUUUGGCAUACAUUGAAUAACUCUAUGACACAUGAGAGGUGUGCCAAAUCUAAGUUACCCACACAGAACCAAAAAACACAAAUUCUAACAUCUAAGCUUUCUUUGGAGAUUUCCUGGCCUUUGAUGGAGACUUGGGAGUUGUAGAAGCACUUUGAGUCUUCUUAGGCAAAAGCACAGGGUUAAUGUUAGGAAGAACACCACCAUGAGCAAUGGAACACCAGGCAGCAAAUUUCUCAACUCUUCAUCAUUCCUCACAGCCAACAACAUGUCUUUGGACUACUGUUCUUCUUGUUAUCACGUGCCGCAUUUCCAGCCAACUCAAGAACCUUCACGCAAACAAAUUUCAAAAUUAGGGUUCAGAUUCAAUUUACAAAGUUCAAACUCCAGUAGCAGUGAAAAAAUGAAACUGAAGAUUGAAAGAGGAGUUAAUUAACCUCAGCAGCAAGAUACUCGAGAACAGCGGCUAGGUAAACAGGAGCACCGGUACCAACACGCUGAGCAUAUCUACCUUUCUUCAAGAAACGGCCGAUUCUUCCGACGGGAAAUUGAAGUCCAGCUUUGACGGAUCUUGUGACAGACUUCUUCCUUGGUCCUCCUCCUUUCCUUCCAGCAGCUCCAACCAUUUUGAAAUUCAAAAACUAGAUUCAAGCUGUUGAUUCGCUUUGUUGGUAAGAAAUGCUGCGAAUUGAAGAUGGUGAGAUAAAAUUGAAUUAGGUGUUGGUUAGGUUUUAUAGUUCCCCGGUAACUAUAAGGAUGUUGCUCUGAAAAACAACUCCACCGUUAGAUUAAUGGCUCGCCCUCACUGACGUGGCGAUCCGUGUCUCUUAAAACUGACCAAUGAGGACUGAUUAGGCGGUCCCCGCUUUUUUUAUUGAAGUUGCCUUUUUGUAAUUUUGUUUUAUUUUUGUAUAGUAAACUAGAGUAGAUUCUUGUAAUGUGUAAUCCAAUUUCUUUUGGAUGCAAAAGUCGCAUCUAGAUAUAAAUCACAUUUUAUUUUAGUUUCUCUAUAUGCAACUUUUGUUAUUUUGAAAAUAACUUUUUUAUGUAUUAUUUUAUUCAAUUUUUAAUAAUUGACAUUAAUAAUAACUAGAUAUCCGUCGGUGCGAUGCACGGAUAUAUUUCUUUAAGGAUCCAUCAUUUAAUUUUAUAAGUAUUAUUUGAAAAUAUUUGACCAAUUUAAAGUGGGCAUUCUCAAUUUGAUAAUCAUUUGUUUACAGUUUUAUCUUGCUAAAAUAGAUUUUCAUACGCAAUCAUCAACUAUAAAAAAUUUCAACUUAACUUUCUUAUUGUACGCUUUUGUUAUUCGUUAUUUUUGUCUUAUGAGAAUAUCCAAGGCAACUAAUAUUUCCUUGUCUAAAUCAACUAAUUCAUCCGAAAUCAUAUUCCAAUAAUGGUCAGAUGAAAUUUCAACUUGUCUUUGAAUUCAAUUUGAUUGUAAGUAAAUCUCGAUAGGCAAAACUGCGUCAUGACCAAACGUGAGUCAAAGUGGAGUAGAGUUAAUUGCCUCUUUAGGGGAAUUUAGACAAGUCCAUAAUACUUGGUCUAAAUUCUUAUGCCAAUUUCAUGGCUUCUAACCUACAGGUCUUUUAAUCAAGCUUAUUUUAAUUUUAUUGGUUACCUCGACAUGGCCAUUCGUUUAAGCAUAAUAGGGAGUAGAUGUUAAAAGUUUGAUUUCUCAAUAUGAAGCAAACUUGACCAUCUUUUGACCAGUAAAAAUUGUACAUUGGCCAGUGGUUAAAGUUUCAGGAAUUCUGAACCAGUAAAUGAUGUGGUUUUGAAUGAAAUUGAUUAUUGUUUCCUGAUCAACGUUGAUCAGAGGAAUAGCCUCGACCCACUUGGUAAAAUAAUAUAUACCAACCAAAAUGUGCAUAUGACCUUUGGAUGAUUUAGGUCAAACUUCACCAAUUAAGUCUAACGUUCAGCCUCUGAAUGGCAAAGGGCUUAACAAUCGAGUGCAACUCACUUGUAGGAACAUGUUGAAUACCUUCAUGUUUUUGACUUAAAAUAAUCUAAACAUAUAAAAUAUGUCAAUCAAAACGAAAGAAAUAACUUCCUAUAACACAGAAGUAUUUCAUAAUUGAGUUUUCUUUGAAUAUCAGAAAGUCUGGUUAUCAGCCUUGUAUCAGAACUCGAUUUGUCGGAACUUAUAUACGCCUGGUCAAAUCAAUUCAGCUUGGUUAAUGCCUUCUGAAAAAGUCUUAACUCUUCAAAAAAAUAUGAUGAACUUAUUCAAAGUUCCCAUAAAAGUUACGAGAGUCAGAAAUAAGAACGUUAAAGGCAAAUGUUUGGGUGUAAAAUUAGAAAUAGGUAUAUCAAAGUCGUAUCACUCUUCUCCCCAUUUGUCAUCAAUCAAAAAGAAAUAAAAUAGACAAAGUAAAAACCAAAUUGAAUUUCAUUUCAUAGAAAAAGGCAUAAGGUACAGAAUCAGAAAUAAUAAAAACUUAAACUUAAGAAAAAUUUAAAAUUAAGGUUUUAAUGAGGGGUGGCAAUUUGGAUAACUUGGCAUGAAGCAUCCAUUAAAUUUUGUUGUUCGUUUCAAUUGGUUCCUUGAACAUCUCAUCUUGUUUGUCCAACCGAGUCCUUAAAACUUCAUUCUCUUGCUUCAACUCUUGCAGAGUCUUCAAAACUAGAGGAAUGAGUUCAGAACCAGAGCCCUCAACUUUUAUGGAUUGAUGUGUUCCAGAAGAUGUUGCAAUUGCAGUUUCUUGAGCAGCAACAGGACCUGCCACUUUCAGGUGCAAAGAGAAGAAGUGUUGGAGGAACCUUAUGAAGCAAAUAUACAAUAUUACUAGAGAACUUGGCAUGGAAGUUCCUUUGAGUAUCCUUUAAUUAAAGGAAUUCCAACUCCCUAGAAUUGAAAUCAAUUCGUCUUAUGAAGUUAUUACACAAAGUACGAACUUCAUAGAGGUUUGCAUUAAAGAUAAUAACUUCAGUGAAAAGGUUCAUUCUAACAACAUCCUCACUUUCAAACUGUAUGAAUAAUUCAUCCAAAACUGUGAGGCGAAUGUUGGUUUGAUGGGGGUUUGGUCAGAAUAAAUAUGAGGUGUUCUGUCAUGGACAACAAUGAUCACAACAUCUGACUCAAAACUCAGAAUUAUUAUAAUCUAAUUCUACAAUGAGAGCGUCAAAGUCAAAGUCAUGGGGCUCUUAGUGAGUGGUGUUCUCUGGUUGUUGGUUUUCAGAUUGAAUUGGUGAAGAAAGGUUUUCUAAUUGACUUAUUUGGUAUAGAUGGGAUAGUGGAAGUUGUGGUUGAGGUGUAAGUAUGAUAAUGGAUAUAAGGGGUUCAGAAAGUGAUGGUAUGGGAAAUGGAAUGGAAUCAUUUGGAUUAAUAGUUUAUGGAGCAAAAACAUUUGGUUCAACAGGAACUGUUUCAGAGAGAACUUGUUCAGAAAUAACUUGUUCAAACUGAGCAGUUUCAACAUGAAUAGUUAUGGAAGUUGUCUGACGAGGAUUGGUUAUAAAACCAAAAGUAUUUGGAUUUGGGGUAUGUGAAAGAAUAAUGGUAGAUGUAAAUGAUGAACUGUUAUCAACAGGUUGAAAUUGAGUUUCAAAAGGAACAGACUUACUUGAGACAAUUCCAGCAAAAGGAGUAGCAAUUGCAGGUAUGGGUUCUUCAGCAGGAGUGUCCAGAGUCCUCCUAGCAGAACUAGAAGUCUUAACCUUCUUAAAUGUUCCAUCAGAAUACUUCUUAGAACUCUUCAUCUUCCUUUAGAAAGAGUUUCAAAAGCUUUGUCCUGAGCACCUUCUUGAUAGCUAGCAAGGUAAUCUAUUAGAACAUUCAGAGGAUCUUGCUUUGGGAAGAUUGGAAAGUCUUCUAAAGGGAUCCUUAUGUUGGAGAUAGCUUCCUUUGGAACUUCAACAUGGUUGCUUGUCAAUUACGAUAUAAUGGUCAUGUUCUUCAGACUUAUGGCAUUGAACAUCUUUCUAACCUGAGGUUCUAACUCUUUUGUGAUCUGAGCUUUUCUUAGAGAGUUUAUCAACUUGCUUUCCAUCAGAAUAUUUGAUAUCAUUCUUCCAAGGGGAAUCCAAAACCUCUUCUUCUUGCUACCAUCUCUGGUUUCCAUCACCGUGUCCCUUAGGUAUUGAAAGAGAAGUGAAGGGAGAUUCAUUUUUUCCUAGUAGUAAUAUAGUAGGGAACAUAUUGUUGGUUAUCAUUGAUGUAGUUUGCAGAAUUCGUUUGCUUUCUGUGAUGAACACACCCAAGAAGAAUUAUGUCUCUCACGGGCGACGUAUAUUGGUUCCUUCUCGAGUUGUCAGCACCGGAGGUGUUCUUUUUUGUGUUACAGACCUUCCUCACAACAUUAUUUUCCUCGCCCUUAAUGUAGCAUUAUGCUCACGUCACUACCUUAACCAACAUCGUCAUCGAUCUUUGGGCAAAGGAUUCAUUGAAAUGUCUCUAUCUAAUAUCAUUAUGGAACUCUCCUGCAAACAUUUCCUGGUUAGGGUGGAUCACUUUGAUGGUCGUCUCAUUGAAGCGGAGAAGAUAUUCCCUUAAUGACUCUGAUGGACCCUAAUGGACCCUGAUGUAUGUUGAACAGAUCAAUGGUAGUUAGCUUAUGGUGCUUGCUUGUGGCGAAUUGAUGAAAUGAAAUUCCCCCAUUCUUUUUUUUUUAAAUCACUUGGAUAAUCUAUCAUAAUAUUACAUUUUAUAACAAAGAAAAACAUUAAGAUUUAAUUUAGUAAAAGCAAAAUUAUUUCAAAUUGAGUGUACAAUUAUUAGUUCAUGUUUCAAUUAUUUCAAUUAUGUUCUUUCUUUGUCGUUAAAUAUACUAAUUUCAAUUAUCUUAGACAAUGUUAAUUUUUCAAGAAAAGAGAAUUAUAGGCUAUAAGAAUUAAAUAUUACAACAUCAAAAAAAAAGCUACCAUCAAGCACAAAAAUAUAGUAAUCAUAAGCAUGGUACAAAAUUUCAUGUUGCAAAGGCAAAACGUUCGAACAACAUUUGAAAUCUACUACAGCUUAACUAUCGCUAAUCUGCCAUUUGCAAUUAACAUUUGAACUUAAUAAACAACAAAAUAAUAAACAAAAUGUUUUCAUUAAUGAGUCAAACUCUUAAACGAGAGACAGACAUUCGAAUUACAUUACUUGGAAUACAUCAAAUAACUUUUGCCACACGAGAGGUGUGCCUAAUCUAAGGUAUCCACACAUCACAAAAUGGAACAAAUAAACCACAAUCUCUAAGCUUUCUUUGGAGAUUUCCUGGCCUUGGAUGGAGAUUUAGGAGCAGGAGCAGAACUUUGAGUCUUCUUAGGCAAAAGCACAGGGUUAAUGUUAGGAAGAACACCACCAUGAGCAAUGGUAACACCAGCAAGCAAUUUUCCAAGCUCUUCAUCAUUCCUCACAGCCAACAACAAAUGUCUUAGUAACACCAGCAAGCAAUUUUCCAAGCUCUUCAUCAUUCCUCACAGCCAACAACAAAUGUCUUGGACUAAUCCUGUUCUUCUUGUUAUCACGUGCCGCAUUUCCAGCCAACUCAAGAACCUUCACACCAAAAAAUUCAAAAUUAGGUUUCAGAUUCAAAUUUACAAAAUUCCAACUCAGUAGCAAUGAAAAAACGAAACUGAAAAGGAAAGAUGAGUUAAUUUACCUCAGCAGCAAGAUACUCGAGAACAGCGGCUAGGUAAACAGGAGCACCAGUACCAACGCGCUGAGCAUAUCUACCUUUCUUCAAGAAACGGCCGACUCUUCCGACGGGAAAUUGAAGUCCAGCUCUGACGGAUCUUGUGACGGACUUCUUCCUUG
rnacentral:lncRNA from 1 species